rnacentral:rRNA from 1 species
GAUUAACGCUGGCGGCGUGCAUAACACAUGCAAGUCGAACGAUGAAACUUUAAUGAACCCUUCGGGGAGAAUUAAAGCGGAUUAGUGGCGAACGGGUGAGUAACGCGUGAGUAACCUGCCUUACACAAGGGGAUAGCCUUUGGAAACGAAGAAUAAUACCCUAUAAAACCAUAAAAGCACAUGCAAUUAUGGUCAAAGUGAUAGCGGUGUAAGAUGGACUUGCGUCUGAUUAGCUAGUUGGUGAGAUAAAAGCCCACCAAGGCAACGAUCAGUAGCCGGCUUGAGAGAGUGUACGGCCACAUUGGGACUGAGACACGGCCCAGACUCCUACGGGAGGCAGCAGUGGGGAAUUAUGCACAAUGGGGGAAACCCUGAUGCAGCGACGCCGCGUGAUUUAGAAGGCCUUCGGGUUGUAAAAAUCUUUUGUAUAGGAAGAAAAUGACAGUACUAUACGAAUAAGGGCCGGCUAAUUACGUG